UACGGAAGGGGCAAGCGUUGUUCGGAAUCAUUGGGCGUAAAGGGCGCGUAGGUGGUUCUGUAUGUCUACCGUGAAAGCGUACGGCUCAACCGUAUUUUGUCGGUAGAAACUGCAGGACUUGAGGCUGGGAGGGGCUGGUGGAAUUCCUGGUGUAGCGGUGAAAUGCGCAGAUAUCAGGAGGAACACCAAUGGCGAAGGCAGCUCGCUGGAACGGAACUGACGCUGAGGCGCGAAAGCGUGGGGAGCAAACAGG
rnacentral:rRNA from 1 species